AUAACAUAAAACGGUAUAGAAAUCAUUACAAUUCUUACUGAAUAUGCAUGUAAAAUAAAAUAACACAUGGAGAGUUAGAUUUUUUUUAUUUCAAAUUAAAAUUAUUACUUUAAGAUGUCUAUCUGCAAAUUUGUUAUAUCUAUUAAGAAAUUAAUAAAAUUAAAUGGUGUAUGCAUGUAAAAUAACACAAGAGAAACAUAAUUGAAUCAAGAGAGAUCAAAAUAAAUGAAUUGAGAAUCAAACUUUUGAUGGGUUUUUCAAUUUAAAUUUAAUAUUAAAAAUUAUCUAUGUUUUAUCUGAAAAAAAAUAUAAUUUUAUGAAAAAAAAACUGCUUCACUUAUAAAUUGAUAUUCUAAAAUAUGAAACAUUGAUGGUAUAUAUCAAGAAAUAAAUAGCAGAUAAAUGAUGUAAAGAGGUGGGCACUAGCUGCUCCUUGAAUAUUUCAACUUCUGUUAUGGAAAAAAAAUCAUAAUAUUUCUGACUUAUCUUGCAAUGAAGAAACAACAUUCCCAGUGGUUUCGUUUUUGUAAGGGUUGUCCCAAAAUUUCUGGUUUUUCUUUGAGUUCUAAAUUUUUAAGAAGUCCCUUUUCAACAAACUGGAAUUUUAACUGAACUCUAUUUAGCAUAUCAAGAUUUAUAAAUAUAUAAAUAAGUUUAUUCGUCUCUUUUGAAUAUAGAUUCUUUUAGCAGUUUUCAAGAAUUGAUAAAUGGUUGAUGCAUCUGGGCACGCAGACAGAUUAAAUCAUCAUGUUUACUUUUUUAUUUCUCCAGGUGUAGCUAGAGGAGUACCUAUUGAGUGCAUCAUCACAAAUGCAGAAGAAAUGAAGUAAGUGGAAGAGUGAAACUUCUUUGUGAGUGUUUCCCUGAAAAAUAUUGUUUAUUGUAAAUUGGGCCACUGAUUAUUAUGACAGAUGAUGAUCUGAAAGAAAGAGAAGUUCUGAAUGAAAUGUGGCCAAAUUCCACUUACUUACUCUAUCAGUUUCAUGUGCUGAAAGCAGUAUGGCGAUGGUUUAUGAACAGUGAACAUAAAAUUCUAAAAGAGCACCAUCAAGAACUGUAUUUUUCAUUUAAAGCAUUGAUAUAAGCAGAAACUGAAAUGCAGCUGAAAGAGUUGCUUAAAAAUAUGUGGAGAAUAGCACGGUCAGGAAAUAUGCAAGUGUAUCAUAUAUUUGAGCAAUUUGUUCUCCAAAAAGCAAUUAUGGUGCACUUGGAAUUAAGAAGGAAAAACAAUUAUGGUCAUGGAAAAAUGCUUUUAACCAGGGGAAACAAUACAACAAAGUUUGUUUAAAGUUUUUAAAAGAGACCAUACUUGGACGAGUGAAAGCAUUUAGCUUAGUUCAGUUAUUGGACUUCUUCCUCACUAAGUUUGAGAAAUAUCUACAUUGUAGAUACUUAGACUUUAGUUUUAAGUGUUCUUCAAAAAAAAAAAACUAAUAAAAAAAGUUUUUGCUUGAUGAUAAAAGGAUUCAGAAAAUGAGAUCACUAAAUAAGGACAACACUUAUUUUGAAAUUGAUCACCAUUUUGUUGAUUUGGAAAAUUCCAUUUGUACUUGCUUUGUUGGUAUGAAUGGAAAACUGUGCAAGCAUUUAAGUGCUGUGAUUCUGAAGCAAAAUGAAAAAUCCACAUUUGUCUAUUCACUAGAAAGUAGGAAAUUAAUGUAUGAAGUGGCUACUUGGAAAAAAUUGGAUCCAAUUAGUACUUUCUUGCUACCUUUAAGUUUUAACCCAUCACAAAGCAACUUUCCCUCUUUCUCAAUUUUAUGAUGCACCACAAAUUUCUACUGCAACACUUCCACAUUCUUCUAACGAUAUACUUGCGAAAUUUGAUAAUAUUACACUUCCACAUUCUUCAAAUGACACACUUUCACCUACACAUAUUGACAAUUUUUCACAGCCUUGCAAUGAUAGCAACAUAGUUCUACCAACUAUUAACACUACUUCAUAGACUAUUGCAGCUACUUAUCAAAACUCAGACAAUGAAACAGAUGAUGAUGAUGAUUUUAAAAAAUUUAAUGAUAUAAUUAAUCAAAUUAAGUCUGGGUACAAAAACAAUCCUGAUGUUUUUAAGCUAGCAAUAAAAAAAUGGUGAAGAAUGUAAACAAGUUUGGAAAAACAGAAACUGGAUUGGUGUCUGCAUUGCAUAACUUCGGAAGGUACUUUUUUAAACCUAUUUUGGUAGGCUUGUUAAGUUUACAUUAGAAAAUUAACAAGAGAGAAAAUAAGAUUUGAUGUGUAGCAGUUUAUUGUAGCAAAUUAAUUUUUAUUUUUAAAGACUAAACUUUUUUAUCCAGUUUUGAAGUCUGUUUAGCUUUAGAUUUCUUAAUUGUUUGACGCUUUUCUUUUAAUUUUUAUUGCUGUAAAAAUUGAAACUGAAAGAGUGAUAAAUUUAAUACAAUAUACACUCAGUACAUGAAUUAAAAAAUAUAUUGUUGAAAUUUGAGCUAAACAGUGUAUGGGUUUCUAUUAAUUUUAUUUUUAUAUACUUUAAAGUAUAGCUAAUGCUAUUUACUAUGAGUUAAUACUAAUAACUUAUCAUUUUUUACACCACAUUUAAAGAGUUUAGUGGAAGAAAGUGUCAAAUGGCAGUUUGAAAACUUAUGCAUUCAUCUUUAAUAAUAUGGUAGGAUCUAUUCUAUAAAAGAAUUAAUAAGAUAGUUUCAAUAUGAAAAGGAGUUUUGUACGUGGCUUUCUUGUAUUUUUAUACAUUCUAAAGCUAAAUUUCUUUAAUUCAUUAAAAUGCCAUGUAGAACUUUCUUCCAUUGACCUCUUCAGCUGUAUGAUGAAGGUUGGAGGAAAUUUACUUAGAUUUCUUCUUUUAUUUUUCCCUCUGAGUUUUGAAGUGCAGCAAAAAGAGAGGCAAUGAAAUAUCUGUCCAAACUACAGCAAUUGCGAGAUGAAAAUCAAUUUUUUGUGAAAGGAAAAGUGAAGUUGGUGGAAGACCAGUUAAGAAAGCAUUACUACCUGCCCUAAAAGAACAUGUAUAUGGAAUUUUCUCUGAGUUACCUAAAAAACAUCCAAAAACAAAGCAUAAUUUGAGACACUUUAUUGAAAAGAAUGUAUCUCUUCCUAGUUAAUUGUUGAAUAGAAGACAAUAACAGUUAUACUUGCUAACAGGUCUUUUUUAUUAACUAAUCAGUACUAGACAAAAAUUCUGCUCACAGCUUGUUAAGAUGAUGUCAAAAAGACUCUGAAGAUGAAACUGGAUAUUAAUAACUUUUGACGAUGUUGUUAAUUUAUACUUCUAGCUAAUUUAUACUAAUUUUAUUACUAUCAUGCUGCAAAAAUAUGUGUAAUUGUAAUUUUUUUUCUUUUGUACAAAGAACAUACUACUAGAACAUAGUAACCAUUUUGUACUAGAACAUAGUAACAGGAUUUGUAUGGUGUUAAAAUAAUUGGUAUUAAUAAGGUAUAAAAUUUUAAUGUAGUUAUGGUAUCAAAUAGAACUUAUUUCACGAAACUGUUAUAUGUUAAAUAAUUUUCAAUUUAUUAUAUAUAUAUAUAUAUAUAUAUAUAUUAUAUAUUAUAAAUUAAAGGAGUUAAAAAAAAGUAUUUACAAGUUGCUCUGUUGUAUAUCGAAACAUUUUCAGAAAAUGAAUAAAACAUACCUUUGAAACCAAAGAGUCCUGAAUUUUUCAUUGAUGUUAUUUGUAUUCACAUAUAUUAACCAUAGUUUUCAUAUAAUCAAGCUUGAGCUGUUAUUUGAUGGGAUUUGAAGUUAUUCUUUACUUGUACAUUCUAAAACUGCAUUAAAUCAUUCUUCCCUUGCACCUUUUUUUUUUUUUUUCUUAGUUUUUAUUAUUUUUUGCAACACUCUUCAAAAUUCUUGAAUAAAUUGUUAGUGUUAAGCAGUGUAUAAAAGAAACAAACAAACAAUGGAUAGACUAAUUUAUAAUUUUUUUAAUCAUAAAAAAUAGAAGUUUAAAAAUUAUUUCCUAGGGAUGUAGAAGGGACAUUGGGAAGCACAUAGCCUCAAAGGAUUUUCAUUUUCCUUACCAGCUGAAAAUUGAAGUAGUUAGUGACAUAAAACAUAGUUUGUGCUUAUUUAAAAUAUAAAAUACUAGGAAUUUAUGAUUAGACAUCCGUUUAAUAGAAUUGGCGAGAUUUUUUUAAAAACUGUUAUUCUUUUUUCACCCUUAUAAUUAAAUUGGCUAGUCAGGCCAAAGGAUGAAAGGCAAAGUGAAGAAGGGAUUUAACACAGUGCCUCUACUUAAAAAUGACAAAAACAUUUUAUAUUAGAAUAUAUAAAAUAUUUUUUUAAAAUUCAAAUAUAAGAAAAAAAGGUACUUACGUAUUAACGCCACCGCAACUACAGAUUUGGCGGCUUUUAAGUGUUGUGUGCGAACAACAGGAUUGCUCUUUAUUGGCAUAUUAGCACAAAAAAUGCCAAAUCUGUAACUGUGGUGGCGUUAAUAUGUAAGUACCGAUAGCAGUUUAAUAAUAAGCUAUGUCCACACAGAAAGAAAAUCACAGAUUUCAUUCAGGAAUUUGAUAAUGGAUCAUAGUCCCCAUUCGCAGCAGGCAGAAAUACAAAUCACCAUCACCAUAUUUUUUUGUGUUAAGCUUGGUCCUGUGAGGUUGAAACGGGACGUUCUUUUCAGAACCAUGUGAAAUAAAAUUGUUUAAACAUUCAUUUAAUUCUUCAUAUGCUGCACCAAAUACAUGAAAUGGAUUGUUCACCGUGAAAUAAAGGUACUGAAUCACUUUUUUGCAGCUGCCUUGAGUUUCCAACUGCUAAAAGUUAAGAACGUUGGACAUUUUCACCACAACUUUUAUGUGCAAUGUAAAAAUCUGAGUAUAUAUGAUUUUAAUUAUUAAUAAUAAAAUACUACAGAAUUAGAAGCACGGACUUCAUAAAGGAUUUCGCAUUAUAGAAUAUUCAUUAUAUGUUAGAAUUGUUAUUCAUUUUUAUUAUUUUGUCAAUUGCUGUAUUUGUUCAGUAAAAUUAUUUGAUAUUA